GUGUUAUAGGUGCCUCGCCAGUGAUCACUUCGCCAGCGCCUGUCGUGACCCAGUCCGGUGUUGGAGGUGUUGGAAGACCGGCCAUCGAGCGUACUCUUGUAAGGGUAAUUCGACUACGAGCGACGCAGCUAUGGACAGAGCAGCUAACCGGCGGGGGCGAGCGCCGAUGUCGAAGGUCUUUGUACCGUAUACUGAAGAGUACCUGUGCAGGGUCGAGCUACGCCGAAAUGCCGUCCUCGCGGAUGUUAUACAGCCGGCUAAUCUA
rnacentral:lncRNA from 1 species